rnacentral:rRNA from 1 species
CAGUCGCCACGGGAAUACGUAGGGUGCAAGCGUUAAUCGGAAUUACUGGGCGUAAAGCGUGCGCAGGCGGUUCGCUAAGACAGAUGUGAAAUCCCCGGGCUUAACCUGGGAACUGUAUUUGUGACUGGCGGGCUAGAGUAUGGCAGAGGGGGGUAGAAUUCCACGUGUAGCAGUGAAAUGCGUAGAGAUGUGGAGGAAUACCGAUGGCGAAGGCAGCCCCCUGGGCCAAUACUGACGCUCAUGCACGAAAGCGUGGGGAGCAAACAGGAUUAGAUACCCGCGUAGUCCCUGUCUCUUAUAC